UAGUUAAAGAUGUUCGGUGGAUUAUGAGAACUUAGGUCUAGUUGAGCAUGGCGAUUAUUAUAUUGGUGUAUAAACAAAUCUUUAAUUAUUCUUGGAAUUAUUUGGAAUUAGUUAGGUGAUUGUGAUCUUGAACCAAAUUUUACGGUGGAUAAAUAACUUCAAUAGUACAUAUAUAGAUCCAUAGUCGGUCAAUUUAACUUGUGGUUUAUAUUGGAUUUAGAUAGCCACGAAAUUUGAGUUUACUUCAAUCAUGGUUAUGAUGUUGGUGGGUUACUUUGUGUUAAGUUCGCACCUUUGGAGAUUGAAGUUGAAGAAAUAUAGGGUGUAGUAUGAACAACAUUGUAUAUACCGGAUUUAUAUAGGUUAGAUGAUAGUUAGCACCAUCAAUCAUGAUUAUGAAAAUUUGUGGAUUAUUAAAGCAUCUGUAAUUGGAUUAGUAGUAUAAGGAAAUAAGGAUCUUGGAGUAACACAACUUGUGUUUCCUUUAGGUCAGAAUGAGAGUUAGCUGCAUCAAUCAUGACUACGAAAAUUGGUGGAUUAUUGGAGCGCGUGGGAUUGAGGUAGUUACUUGGAUUUUAGGACUAAGAUAACUUGGGGGCACUCAGAUUUCUUUUUUUCUAGAAAGCGCAAAAGACUUUUGCGGUUCAUUGUAUUGAAAAGAAGGGGUUUAGUACAAUCCUCCUAGGAGGCAUAUUUACAAGGUGAACACAUGCACACUAGUGGACGUCCCAUGUUUGUGGCAAGAUGGCCUGGAGCCCCAAGGCGCCCGCUCUGGCCCAGAGGCCGGCCUCUUCCUUAAUCGUAGCCGCCAGGGAGGUAGCCGACGGUGUGGCACCCUCAAACACGCAUCCGUUGCGAUGCUUCCAAAUCAUCCAAGGGACGAGCAAAGCAACAGAAGCCAAUCCCUUGUGCAUAGGCUUAGGGGUGUCGUGCCGUGCAGACACCACCAGUCGUGUAGAGUGGCCUCGUUGUUGGGCAACGGGCAAGAGAGGCGCAACCAUGAGAGGAUCUCGUGCCACACUUCGCGGCUGAAAGGGCAUUCCAGGAGAAGAUGAUGAAUAGUCUCCGGAGCCUGAUCGCAAAGAGGGCAGCACUGUGGGUGUGGCAGGUUGCGCCUCGCGAGGCGGUCGGCCGUCCAGCACCUAUCAAGGUUGGCAAGCCAGUGGAAGAAGCGCACCCGAGGCGGUGCCCAGCACUUCCAGGUAAGUUUCCAAGCCUGACAUCUCGCGGAGCCGUGGAAAGUGGCGAGGUAUGCGGACUUGGCGGAGUACUCGCCGUUCGCGGUCCACUUCCAGCGAAUGUUGUCUGGUGCGUCAGUGAGGACGGUUUCGGCGAUCGCGUGCCAGAGGCGCAGGUAUUCUCCAAUCUCCAGGAUGCCAAUCAUGCCGUGGAUGUCCGCGGCCCAUUGGUUCUCGUGAAGGCCGUCCGCAACAGUUCUUGACUUGCGACGCCGUUUGGGGAUGAGAUCAAAAAGGAGAGGCGCGAUCUCUCGGAUUGCACGCCCGUUGAUCCAUCGGUCCUCCCAGAACAGGGCGCGCUGGCCAUUGCCGAUAGCCAUGGUGGUAGAGGCGAAGAAGAGCGCGCGCUCCUCGGGCGCGAAGUGCAGGUCUAGGCCGCUCCAGGCCCUGCCAACAUCGACUCGGCUGAGCCACUGCCAUCGCAUGCGAAGGGCGAGGCCAGUGCGCUCGAGGUCGUGGACGCCGAGGCCCCCAAACUGGAUAGGCCGGCAGACGCGCCGCCAGUUGACAUGACAAUUGCCGCCGUGGGCCUCGGCGUGGCCAGCCCAGAGAAAUCCUCGCUCGAUCUUCUCCAGGAGUUUGAUGGUUUUUGGCGGCGCAAGCACGAGGAGCUGAUGAAUGGGAAUCGCGCUCAAGACAGCCUUGGCGAAGGCAAGGCGGCCGGCUUUGUUCAUAAGCCAGGCCUUCCAGGAGGGCAGCUUCCCAGCGACCUUAUCGACGACGGGUUGCAGUUGGGCAGCCGUGGGGCGACGCAGUGUGAGCGGGAUGCCCAAGUAAGUAAGCGGGAAGUCGACGAUGGGGCAGCCCAGGUGCGCGACAAUAUGAGCAGCGUCCUUGGUGUCGCAGCGGAUGAGGGCCGCAACGCUCUUCUGGAAGUUCACGUGCAGGCCCGAGGCGCGCCCAAAGAGCUGCAGAAUCUCCUUCACCGCCGCGAUAUCGUCCGGCGACGGGUGGCACAGAAGAAUUACGUCGUCGGCGUAGAGGGAUAUGGCGGGGAUGGCGCGGCGCGGAUGCAGCUGCUGCAUGACUCGGAGCUCGACCGCGCGAUGGAAGAGCCUGCCCAGCGUAUCCACGGCAAGGACGAAGAGCUGUGGGGAGACGGGGUCACCUUGGCGCAGUCCACGGCGGUGCCAAAUCGCUGGUCCGGGGUUGCCGUUGAGGAGAACCUUGGUGCUGGCCGACGACAGGAGAAGGGCGAUCCAACCAAGGAAGCGGUUGCCGAAGCCAUGGCAUCGCAGCACCUCGAAUAGGAAGGGCCACGAGACGGAGUCGAAAGCCCGUGCUAAGUCAAGCUUCAGCAGCACUCGAGGGGCACCCAGCUGAUGCAAUAGCCGUGCGGAUUGACGCACUAGGAUGAAGUUGUCGUGAAGACUUCGCCCGGGGAUGAACGCGUUUUGGACGUUGCUGACGAGGUUGUUGAGCCUGGGGGCUAGGCGGAUCGAAAGCAGCUUGGCCAGGACCUUGGCGACGAUGUGAAUUAGGCUUAUGGGCCUAUAAUCCCCCAGGCCAGUGGCCUCGGCGCGCUUGGGGAGGAGCGUGAUCAGCGCCUGGUUAAGGCAGCUAAACCCUCGUCCACGCAGCGCGUAAAUCUGGUCGAAGACGCAUCGGAGGUCAUGCUUGAUGAUCUGCCAGCAGGAUCGGAGGAACUCCGCAGUGAAGCCGUCGAGGCCGGGCGCCUUGCGGGACGGCAUGCUUUUGAUGGCCUGCCAAAUCUCAUCCUCGCUGAAUGGCGCAUCAAGAUCUUCCAGGUUUGAGGGCUCGAUGAAUUGCGACAGGUUAAUAGUGCAGUCACGCUGCAUGUCUGUCCUAAUUCGGCUGUCAAAGUGCUCGAAAGUGGCCGCGGCCAGCUUAGUAGCUUGCAUGUGCCCAUAUGGAUAUGAUCAUGGAUACGAUACAUGUGGAUCGGAGUUGUUAGACCUAGGUGAUUUUGUUGUUCCCCCCAAAGAAUGUUAUCAGUACAAAAUGACCAUAGGAGGAUGAUUUGGAUUAAUUCAAAGAGAUGGCGAUUUUGAUGGUAUGUGAUAACCUUGUGUGAGUUGUGCCAUGUGGGCCUCUUAAUAGUUGGUCUCAGAGAAAUGGUGUUUAAGUGCGUUAUGGUGAACUUUUACCCUCACACCCGAACCCUAUGCACCUUAAGUCUCACCAAUCCAUGACUUGGUCGAAUCGCGACGACAGAGUUGUAUGUGAAGGAUGUGGCCGUUGACCUAAUCCUUGCCCACCUAGCUAUUUGAUGAACAUCAUGAAUAACAUGUUUGUGAGUUCUUCGACAAGUUUCUCGUCAUCAUUGGUGACCUCUUUGUCUAUACCCCCUCGGAGGAAAAUCAUUAGCAACACCUAAGAAAGAUUUUUAUGUGGUUUUAGUUUGGUGAUUGUGAUAUUGAGGAGAUAGUCAAGGAUAUUAUGAGAUUUUAUGUUUAGUAAGUGAGCAUGUGAUUAUUAUGUUGGUGGAUAAACACAUUUUUAAUUAAUCUUGGAACAAUUUCUAUUUAGUUAGGUGAUUGUGAUCUUGAAUCGAAUUUCAUGGUGAAUUUUGAGAUUUUGGUUGAAUAUACUUUGAUGAUUGUGAUCUUGAGAUAGUCAAAGAUUUUUUCGGUGGAUAUGAGAUUUUAGGUCUAGUAGGUGACCGUGGUGAUUAUUAGAUUGGUGGAUAAACAUAUAUUUGAUUAAUCUUACAACAAUUUCUUAGUUAGGCAACUAUGGUUGAAUAUACUUUGGUGAUUGUGAUCUUGAGGAAACAGUCAAUGUUUUUGGUGCAUUAUGAGUUUUUAGGUAUAGUCGGUGACCGUGGUGAUUAUUAGUUUGGUGGAUACACAUAUAUUUAAUUAAUCUUACAUUGAUCUGUUAGUGAUGUGAAUAUGAUUUUGAACCAAAUUUCACGAUGGAUUAUGUGAUUUUUGGUGGAUCUAGUUAGGUGAUUGUCUCCUUGAAAAGAUACUUCAAGAUGUUCGAUGGAUUAUGAGAUUUUUGGUCUAAUUAGUGAGCAUAGUGAUUAUUAUAUUGGUGGAUAAACAAAUCUUCGAUCAAUUUUAAACAAUUUGGAUUUAGCUAGGUGAUUGUGAUCUUUUAACAAAAUUUCAUAGUGGAUUAUGAGAUUUUAGAUGGAUUUAGCUAGGUGAUUGUGAUGUUGAGAAAGAUUGUCAAUGAUGUUCGGUGGAUUAUAAGAUUUUAGGUCUAAUAGGUGAGCAUCAUGAUUAUUACAUUGGUGGAUAAACAAAUCUUUAAUUAAGUGGAACAAUUUGGAUUUAGUUUGGUGAUUAUGAUUUUGAAUCAAAUUUCUCGGUGGAUUAUGAUAUUUAUGUGGAUUUAGUCUGGUUAUUGGGAUCUUGAGGAGAUGGUCAAAGAUGAGUAGUGGAUGUUGAUUUUUAUGUCUAGUACGUGAGCAUGGUGAUUAUUAGAUUGGUGAAUAAACAUUUCUUUAAUUGAUCUUUCACUAAUUUGGGUAGCUGUGAUCUUGAACCACUCAAGAUGAAUGUCACCCUACAGAGCGAUAUAGGUUGAAUGUUCAUGAGAUACCUGGUUGUGUAAAAAGUGGUCUCUUGUUACCAAAGGAAUCGGUAGCAAAACCCAUCGAUGGAGAACCAAAAGAAGCAGCCAUUAGACACUAAACUCGUGUAAUCUUCUGUGUGGUUAGGGGCUCAUUUGAAGAGGUUGACAAAGAAGUACUAGACGGUGAAACUAGAAUGAGUGGGCGUUGAAGUUGUGCAAUUUUCGUUCCUUGUUGAUCCGGCUUGGCGUCCUUCCCUUGUAUGCGGGUUAUGUGUCACGGGCUUGACGUAGGAUCCUACGUUCCCUUGUUGGGGGUCGUUGGCCCGGGCGACAGGUAGCGUCAUGCUCACAUCUUGUGUGUUAGACAUUGCGGUGCCGACUGCCUUUGCUCCUGCAUCGCCGAUAGGUGGUGCUUGGGCGUUCGGCUAUGGCGGCGCCCAUCAAGGAAACACGGGUUGUGGGAUCGAGGCAGCACACAAAGCAACCCGUAGCCAGGCAAAGGAUGUCCAAUCGGACUGGAAUGGAGCGGAGAGUGCAUGAGGGGUGUGGUGAAAGGGGUCAAAAGAAUGACGACAAGGGAAGCGAGGAAGGCAGCUGCGAUGGUGAUCAGUUGUGGGCAGAUCCAAUUUUUGCACGUGGAUCUACUACUCAGGAUAGCAUGACAUGGUUGUUGUGGAGUGAGGUGCCACAAAUAUUGUGUUGUUUGGAUGAGUUUGGAGAGAUAGAAGUUGGUUGUGCUCUAGUCUACGCCUUCAACUGUACUAAGUGCAACUUAUUCCAAGUUUCUGUGCUCUCAAGCUUAAGCCUUUCUUUCUUUGAACCAGUCGUAAGCCCAAGAAACUGAGCCUAGCUAUUAAAGUUCUGAUAACAUGGACUUAUAUUGAUGUGCUUAAUUUACGGAAUUAUGAGAGCACCGCAUAAGAACGAAUAACUUUUGCGGCGAAUAAAGGCAAACUUUAGAUUGUGAUUGUGAGUCAAUCAUGUUACAUCCUUAAGCCCCAACAAGCACCAAGUUGGCUGGUGCCAUACGGAAGUUGUUUUGAGUAUUUAUGAUUGGAAGAUGAGAUAAUCUGAUGGUGUUGUAGAAAUGAUAUUCUGGAGAUAGUUAAAGAUGUUCGGUGGAUUAUGAGAACUUAGGUAUAGUUGAGCAUCGCGAUUAUUAUAUUGGUGUAUAAACAGAUCUUUAAUUAUUCUUGGAAUAAUUUGGAUUUAGUUAGGUGAUUGUGAUCUUGAACCAAAUUUUACGGUGGAUAAAUAACUUCAGUAGUACAUAUAUAGAUCCAUAGUCGGUCCAUUUAACUUGUGGUUUAUAUUGGAUUUAGAUAGCCACGAAAUUUGAGUUUACUUCAAUCAUGGUUAUGAUGUUGGUGGGUUGCUUUGUGUUAAGUUCGCACCUUUGGAGAUUUAAGUUGAAGAAAUAUAGGAUGUAGUAUGAACAACAUUAUAUAUACCGAAUUUAUAUAGGUUAGAUGAUAGUUAGCACCAUCAAUCAUGAUUAUGAAAAUUUGUGGAUUAUUAAAUCUUCUGUGAUUGGAUUAGUAGUAUAAGGAAACAAGGAUCUUGGAGUAACACAACUUGUGUCUCCUUUAGGUCGGAGUGAGAGUUAGCUGCAUCAAUCAUGAUUACGAAAAUUGGUGGAUUAUUGGAGCGCGUGGGAUUGAG
rnacentral:lncRNA from 1 species